CAGUAGCCGCGGUAAUCCGGAGGGUGCAAGCGUUAUCCGGAUUUAUUGGGUUUAAAGGGUCCGUAGGCGGAUCUGUAAGUCAGUGGUGAAAUCUCACAGCUUAACUGUGAAACUGCCAUUGAUACUGCAGGUCUUGAGUAAAUUUGAAGUGGCUGGAAUAAGUAGUGUAGCGGUGAAAUGCAUAGAUAUUACUUAGAACACCAAUUGCGAAGGCAGGUCACUAAGAUUUAACUGACGCUGAUGGACGAAAGCGUGGGGAGCGAACAGGAUUAGAGACCCCUGUAGUCCCUGUCUCUUAUAC
rnacentral:rRNA from 1 species